rnacentral:rRNA from 1 species
UACAGAGACUGCAAGCGUUAUUCGGAUUCACUGGGCGUAAAGGGCGCGUAGGCGGCCGUUUGCGUCGGAUGUGAAAGCCCGGGGCUCAACCUCGGAACGGCAUUCGAUACGGGACGGCUGGAGACCGGGAGAGGAGAGUGGAAUAGCCAGUGUAGAGGUGAAAUUCGUAGAUAUUGGCUGGAACACCGGUGGCGAAAGCGGCUCUCUGGCCCGGUUCUGACGCUGAGGCGCGAAAGCGUGGGGAGCAAACAGG